GCCAGGUGUGGUGGUGCAUGCCUGUAGUCCCAGCUACUUGGGAGGCUGAGAUGGGAGGAUCACUUGAGCCCAGGAGGUCAAGGCUGCAGUGAGCCAAGAUUAUGCCACUGCACUCCAGCCUGGGUGAUAGAGUAAGAUCCUGCCUCAA
rnacentral:SRP_RNA from 1 species